GCCUGGGUGGUUCAGUUGGUUAGAGCAUGGUGCUGCGAAUGCCAAGCUUGCAAGUUUGAUCCCCGCAUGGGACA